UUCAAGAUGAGAUUUGGUUGGGGACACAGUCAAACCAUAUCAGACUGUGAGGAGGAAGAACAUUCCAGGCAGAGGGUCUAGCAAUGUACAGUCUGCAGUCAUGUAACUGCCUUGUCAAGAUACAGAAUACGUCCAUCAACUCCAGAAAUCCUCUCAUGCAUCUUUGCAGUUGAUCUCCUCACCCACCCCCACUUCCUGGCAAUAGCUGAUCUGUUUUCCAGAAUGUAAUAUUAAUGGAAUCAAAUAAAAUAUAGCCUUUUGUUUCUGGUUGCUAAUAGUAUAUCAGUUUUGAGAAUAAUUCAUAUUGUUGCAUGAAUCAGUAGUUUGCUUUUUUUCAUUGCUGACUAUUAUUCCAUGGUCUGAAUGUAGUGGAAUUUGUUUAUGCAUUUCUCUGUCAAUGGACAUUUGGGCUGUUUCCAGUCUUCAGCUAUUAUGAAUAAAGUUGUAAUUGUAACGUGAA